rnacentral:snRNA from 1 species
GUGCUCACUUCAGCAGCAUAUAUACUAAUAUUGGAAAGAUACAGUAAAGAUUAGCAUGGCCCCUGCACAAGGCUUACGUGCAAAUCUGUGAAGCAUUCUAUAUAUUU